rnacentral:sRNA from 1 species
UGACAAAGCACAUAAAGUCAGGGAAAG